GAUGAACGCUGGCGGCGCGCCUAAUACAUGCAAGUCGAGCGAACAGAUGAGGAGCUUGCUCCUCUGACGUUAGCGGCGGACGGGUGAGUAACACGUGGAUAACCUACCUAUAAGACUGGGAUAACUUCGGGAAACCGGAGCUAAUACCGGAUAAUAUAUUGAACCGCAUGGUUCAAUAGUGAAAGACGGUUUUGCUGUCACUUAUAGAUGGAUCCGCGCCGCAUUAGCUAGUUGGUAAGGUAACGGCUUACCAAGGCAACGAUGCGUAGCCGACCUGAGAGGGUGAUCGGCCACACUGGAACUGAGACACGGUCCAGACUCCUACGGGGGGCAGCAGUAGGGAAUCUUCCGCAAUGGGCGAAAGCUUGACGGAGCAACGCCGCGUGAGUGAUGAAGGUCUUCGGAUCGUAAAACUCUGUUAUUAGGGAAGAACAAAUGUGUAAGUAACUAUGCACGUCUUGACGGUACCUAAUCAGAAAGCCACGGCUAACUACGUG
rnacentral:rRNA from 1 species